GCCUUCUGCUCGUCGGCCUCCUCCUUCCUGGAUCUCGGCUGGUCGAUCCUGCCCGUGGGCGCGUGGCUGGACCACCCGACACCUCAACUCCGGUGCCAACGGACCUGCCAUCCUGCUCGCCUGCCCGGGUCUUCCGUGCGCUUCAGUGCAACGCCCUGCAACAGCUCUCCCGUGGUCAGCUGUCCCUCUGCUUAGCGCCGCUCGGACAGGCUCGUCUGUCUCCCUUGCGACCAACGACCUGAACAACAAUAGACUGGCUUUACGGAGAUAAGGCAAAAAUGACACGAGAUAAGAGCUGGAUGGACAGGGAAAGAAAUUCUGGUGAGUGGCAAACUGGCAUGAAGGAUUUCUUGAAUUUUGCCUUCGAUGGUGCUCACCCAGACUCAACAGUCCCAUGCCCAUGUAGGAGAUGUCUCAAUGUUGUUCCAAAAACGAAAAAGGAAGCUCAUACUGACUUGUUGUUCAAUGGGAUGGAUCCAACCUACACUCACUGGAUAUACCAUGGUGAACAAUCCGAUGAGGGAAGCAUGUCUGAAGAUUCUGAUAAUGAAGACGCUUUAGAUGAUGGUGCUGGGGUAUGUGACAUGCUCAAUACUCUCAUAAGGGGCACAAACAUGGAAAGCAAUGCAGACAUUGGUGAAGGUGCGGGAGACAUUUAUGUGGAUGCUUCCAGCGGUGAUGAAAGGAACCAGGAGCCAAAUGCAACAGCCAAGGUCUUCUUCGAACUAUUGAAAGAGGCAAAAAAAGAGUUGUACCCAGGUUGCAAGGAUUUCACGAAGCUAUCUUUCAUUGUGAAGCUUUACCAAA